CCUAAGGUAGCGAAAUUCCUUGUCGGGUAAGUUCCGACCUGCACGAAUGGCGUAACGACUUCUCCGCUGUCUCAACCGCGAACUCGGUGAAAUUGCAGUACGAGUAAAGAUGCUCGUUUCGCGCAGAAGGACGGAAAGACCCCGGGACCUUUACUAUAGCUUGGUAUUGGUGUUCGCUUGGACUUGUGUAGGAUAGGUGGGAGACUGUGAAGCUGCCGCGCCAGCGGUGGUGGAGUCGUCGUUGAAAUACCAUUCUGGUUUAAGCGGUCACCUUAACCUUGGCCCGUGAUCCGGGUUGGGGACAGUGCCUGGUGGGUAGUUUAACUGGGGCGGUUGCCUCCUAAAAUGUAACGGAGGCGCUCAAAGGUUCCCUCAGCCUGGUUGGUAAUCAGGUGGCGAGUGCAAGUGUACAAGGGAGCUUGACUGUGAGACCGACGGGUCGAGCAGGUGCGAAAGCAGGAACUAGUGAUCCGGCCAUGGCACGUGGGUGCGUGGUCGCUCAACGGAUAAAAGGUACCCCGGGGAUAACAGGCUGAUCUUGCCCAAGAGUCCAUAUCGACGGCAUGGUUUGGCACCUCGAUGUCGGCUCGUCGCAUCCUGGGGCUGGAGUAGGUCCCAAGGGUUGGGCUGUUCGCCCAUUAAAGCGGUACGCGAGCUGGGUUCAGAACGUCGUGAGACAGUUCGGUCCCUAUCCUCUGUGCGCGCAGGAAAUUUGAGAAGGGCCGUCCCCAGUACGAGAGGACCGGGAUGGACGAACCUCUGGUGUGCCAGUUGUACCGCCAGGUGCAUGGCUGGUUGGCUACGUUCGGAAGGGAUAACCGCUGAAAGCAUCUAAGCGGGAAGCCUGCUUCAAGAUGAGGUUUCCACGCCCCCCCGUGGGGUGAGAGGCCCCCGCCAGACUAGCGGGUUGAUAGGCCAGAGGUGGAAGCACCGCGAGGUGCUCGUGAGCCGACUGGUACUAAUGGGCCAACACUAAACAAA
rnacentral:rRNA from 1 species